GACGAACGCUGGCGGCGUGCUUAACACAUGCAAGUCGAACGGAAAGGCCCAGCUUGCUGGGUGCUCGAGUGGUGAACGGGUGAGUAACACGUGGGUGAUCUGCCCCUAACUUCGGGAUAAGCUUGGGAAACUGGGUCUAAUACCGGAUAGGACAAUCGUUUAGUGUCGGUUGUGGAAAGUUUUUUCGGUUAGGGAUGAGCCCGCGGCCUAUCAGCUUGUUGGUGGGGUAAUGGCCUACCAAGGCGUCGACGGGUAGCCGGCCUGAGAGGGUGGACGGCCACAUUGGGACUGAGAUACGGCCCAGACUCCUACGGGAGGCAGCAGUGGGGAAUAUUGCACAAUGGGCGCAAGCCUGAUGCAGCGACGCCGCGUGGGGGAUGACGGCCUUCGGGUUGUAAACCUCUUUCGACAGGGACGAAGCUUUGGUGACGGUACCUGUAUAAGAAGCACCGGCUAACUACGUG
rnacentral:rRNA from 1 species